rnacentral:rRNA from 1 species
AUUGAACGCUGGCGGCAUGCCUUACACAUGCAAGUCGAACGGUAACAGGUCUUCGGAUGCUGACGAGUGGCGAACGGGUGAGUAAUACAUCGGAACGUGCCCAGACGUGGGGGAUAACGAGGCGAAAGCUUUGCUAAUACCGCAUACGAUCUAAGGAUGAAAGCAGGGGACCGCAAGGCCUUGCGCGUUUGGAGCGGCCGAUGGCAGAUUAGGUAGUUGGUGGGAUAAAAGCUUACCAAGCCAACGAUCUGUAGCUGGUCUGAGAGGACGACCAGCCACACUGGGACUGAGACACGGCCCAGACUCCUACGGGAGGCAGCAGUGGGGAAUUUUGGACAAUGGGCGAAAGCCUGAUCCAGCAAUGCCGCGUGCAGGAUGAAGGCCUUCGGGUUGUAAACUGCUUUUGUACGGAACGAAAAGGCUCUGGCUAAUACCUGGGGCACAUGACGGUACCGUAAGAAUAGGCACCGGCUAACUACGUG